rnacentral:lncRNA from 1 species
AUAAUUCAGCAUACAAUAAUUCAAUUUUUCAUUUGACAUCAUAUUAAUCAAAUCUUUCUUUCAUUACAAAAUUUUACUUCAUAUUAUUUAAAAUCUAUUUAUUAUCCUUCUUCUAUAAAAAAAAUAAAAAUAAGAAGUAGCACCAAGCUUAUCCCAAUUCAUGACUAUCAUAGUCUCGCCCUUUUUACUUCUUCUUCAAUCCAUUUAUACUUAUCCCAAAAAAGAGAUUCCAACCAAUAUUUCUUACUUAAUUACUUUAUUUAAC